CCCAGGCGGCGGGGCCGGGCAGGGGCCUGCGGAGGCCGAGCCCGGCGGGAGGCACCGGCUCAGGUGCGGGCGGCACCGCGGCGCUCCCAGGCGAGAUGCUGCCAGGGAUUGCUGGAGCGGAACUACCAAGCAGAAGCAGGCAUUGCACUGUCAGUUGUCAUCAGGUUUGCAAUCAGAUUGGAAAAGCUGAACUUGAAGCUUCCUGCCUGCAGUGAGGCCAAGAGAUACCUAUUGCUCACAUAAUAAAAGACAUGAGCUUCAACGUGACUUUCCACCUUUCCUACAAAUUCCGAUUACUGUUGCUUUUUACUUUAUGCCUGACGGUGGUUGGGUGGGCCACCAGUAACUACUUUGUGGGUGCUAUUCAAGAGAUUCCUAAAGCAAAGGAUCUCAUGGCUAGUUUGAACAAGGGUUUAGUUUUGGGGGAGAAAGGAACUGUGACAGAGGAAGCCUCUGUGAAAAAAGCAAACCUGAACAACUGCUCUUCUGUGUCUCCACACCUCAAAGGCCAGAACAAGCUCGUUUUCAAACCAGAUCUCACUCUGGAAGAAGUACAGGCAGAAAACCCCGAGGUGCACAGAGGCCGGUAUCACCCUGAGGAAUGCAGGGCUUUGCAGCGGGUCGCCAUCCUCAUCCCUCACCGGCACAGAGAGAAGCACCUGCUGUACCUGCUGAAACACCUUCACCCCUUCUUGCAGAGGCAGCAGCUGGAGUAUGGCAUCUAUGUCAUCCACCAGGCUGGAAGUAAAAAGUUUAAUCGCGCCAAACUUCUGAAUGUGGGCUAUCUAGAAGCUCUCAAGGAUGAAAUUUGGGACUGCUUCAUAUUCCAUGAUGUGGACCUGGUGCCCGAGAACGAUUUGAACCUUUACAAGUGUGAGGAUCAGCCCAGGCAUCUGGUGGUUGGCAGGAACAGCACUGGGUACAGGUUACGUUACAGUGGGUAUUUUGGGGGUGUUACUGCCCUAAGCCGAGAGCAGUUUUUCAAGGUGAAUGGAUUCUCUAACAACUACUGGGGAUGGGGAGGCGAAGACGAUGACCUCAGACUCAGGGUUGAGCUUCAUAGAAUGAAAAUAACCCGGCCACUGCCUGAAGUGGGUAAAUAUACUAUGAUCUUCCACAAGAGAGACCAAGGCAAUGAGGUGAAUGUAGAACGGAUGAAGCUCUUACAUCAGGUGUCACGUGUCUGGAGAACAGAUGGGUUGAGCAGUUGUGAUUAUAAAUUACUCUCUGUGGAUUACAAUCCUUUAUAUGUCAACAUCACAGUGGAUUUCUGGUCUGGCCCGUGACCCUGGCUCUUCUGCUGACAUUUGGAGGAACUGAAUAUUUGAUUGCAAUAAUUUUGGCCUAGAGACUUCCCCUAGUAGCACACAUUAAGAACUUGUUGCAGCCAAUUGUUGAGCUGAUUCUCCCUCUUUCGUAUUUUCUUAGCAGAACUCCUGGUGAUAUGGAAUGUUAAAACAAUUGUUUUGAUCAUGAGGGUUAAAUAUUGUAAUGUAGAUGCUUGAAGGACUAAGUAUAAAAGGACCACUCAGAAGAUACCAUGAAGGCUAUUUGAGAACUCUGAUUGAAGAAGGUUUAUUUAAGUUUGAAGUGACACAUAUUUUCUGGGAUAAAAAAUGCCACAGGAGAUAAGAUUGCUGAAUGUCCCAGAGAACCAGGAUUGUUCUUGUCCAAGCAGGAAAGGGUUGAAGAUAUAUUUCUGUUACUCAUUUAUCCUGCAUGGUCAUCUGGGAAGAGGCAGCUCCCAGGUGAGAAGAAGGCCGAAGAAGAGGGGAGAAAGGUGAAGAAUGAAGAUGCCAUGAACUUGGGACCAAAGAGGUGGCAGAAGGACCGCAUCAGGUGGAGAGCAGCUGCGGUGGUUGUACUGUUGCUAUGGCUGCUGCCCUGCGGCAGGUGUCACCUGCCCAGGAUUCUAGAAGAGCCACGGGGUGCGUGCGAGAGAGUGAAUCAUUCUUUAUUCAUCGAGUCAUUCAUCCAUGCAUGCCAUAAUCUGCCUUUCUUUGUGCAUUGCAGAUCUCGCAAAGCUACAAUGUGGAUGAGAAAAAGAGUCAUUCACCUCUUCAUUUGCCCACCCACCAAACGUUUAUUGAUGCCUGCUUUGUGCCAGGCAUUAUGCUAAGUACUGAAGAUACAGAACUGAAGGAUGCAUGGUCCUCAAGGAGACUCAUAGAAAAAAUAGGCUUGCAAACAAAUAAUUAUAUUUCAAGCGCCCAGCCUUACCAGAGAGGAGCAGGCAGCCUCCAGGUACGCAGCUCUUCGCCGGCGUCUCCUCUCACUCACUCCCACUCCAGUUGCAUCAGCUCCUGGCUGUAUCUGUUGGGCCCAUGCAGACACCAGUCAGAGAAGCAAAGAUCUGGAAAAUACUCAACAGGUGACCCCCAGGUGUCUCCCCUUCAGCUUCUCUGCACUGGACUCUUCUGGACUUCCAAUAGAGGAGAGCAUCUUUGACCCCACUUGGAUGAUCUUCACUGCAGGGAGGGUCUUCCCCUCUACUCCCUCCUCACCUGGCACUCUGUGCUCCCACCUACCCCACUGAAAACCAAAGCGCUGUGCUCAGGGAAGAAGAAACAAUCCAUCAAAAUUGGUCCAGGAGAGCAAUGUAGAGAGUUUUAAGGUCUUACCACCAGAAGAAGUUUCCUGUUGGACUUCAUGAUGCCUACAAUGCCCAGGACAGACAGGCAGAAGAGGCAGAUGCCGACAAACAUGCCAAUCCAGGCUGCCCCAUAGAUGUCAUCAUUGUCAGUGGCUUCAAGCAGCGGGUAGAGGCUGUGUUGGUCGGAUACAAAGAAGAUGCACUCUGCAGUCAGGGCGACGCCGCACAUCUGGGGGCAGAGGGGGUUCUGUCAGGCUGGAGGCCAUGAGAGCAGCAUUGAGAAAGGGAUAGAGGAGUAGGGGCGUGGUGGUAAGAGAGACUAACUCUGUCCCCUGCAUAGGCUUUAAGUAACUGACUUAAACAGCUCCUUCCAUCAUAUGUAUUGGUUUCAUGCCUCUUUCCACAUUUCGCUCUAUCUUCUGCUCUUUGGGAGGAGACCCAGACUAUUUCAGACCAUCUAUAAAACCCCUGGGGCAUGAACCACUCAAACAAUGACUUCUUGUACAAAGAUAAUCUCUCACUCCCAUUCCCACUGCCCAAAUUCCUGGAUUGUAAUAUUUAAACUGGUCCUGGUCAUGUUCUCUGUGCCAGAGAACCAUGGAACAUUAGAACUGGAAGGAACCUUGGUGGUUAUCUUUCCUGCCCCCUGGAUUUCAUAGAUGAAGGAUCUUGGCCCUGAAAGGCAAUGAAUGACCUGUCCGGAGUCACGCAGAGUCAUAGGGCUGGGCCCAGAGCCAGCGAUCCUGACUCCUAAGUGCUCUCACCACACUGUGCCCACGCAGCCUGGCCUCUGAGUUACUCUUACAUCCCAGUACUGGCCCCCUGUGUGACCAGCACAGGAAGAUGCAAACAUCUGUCCCCAACAACCUUAACAGUGGAGGCUGAGGAAAUCAAACCAAGGAGGGAUAGGAAAGACACACCAAAGCGCGUGUGUUGAGAGUGCUUGGAAGCUGACUAUGGUUAGCAUGGCUGCUUUUAGAUUCUUGUGUUUUAAAGUUGGGAGGGAAAUCUCUCUUUUUUUUCCCCCCACAUGGUCUUUUGAUAUAUUACAUAGUUAUAUAGGAUUAUUUAUAUAGUUAACUUCUAGUUAGCAUGUUUUACUAACACACUUCUUAAAAGAAAAGAUGUAGGGAACCAGUCAUUAUGUCAUUAUUUCCCUUUUAAACUCUCACUUUCGAUUGAUCUAAAAUCAUAAUUACAGGGCUUCCCUGGUGGCGCAGUGGUUGAGAAUCCGCCUGCUAAUGCAGGGGACACGGGUUCGAGCCCUGGUCUGGGAAGAUCCCACAUGCCGUGGAGCAACUAGGCCCGUGAGCCACAACUACUGAGCCUGCGCGUCUGGAGCCUGUGCUCCGCAACAAGAGAGGCCGCGAUAGUGAGAGGCCCACGCACCGCGAUGAAGAGUGGCCCCCGCUUGCCACAACUAGAGAAAGCCUUCGCACAGAAACGAAGACCCAACACAGCCAAAAAUUAAAAAAAAAAUAAAUAAAUAAAUAAAAAAAUAAAAUCAUAAUUACAGGAAGAGCAGAAUUUCCUGGAACAUACUCAUUACUUACACCAAUAAUCACAUUUCCAAAAAUCAGCAGGCCCUGGAAGCAACGAACGGUGGAGUCCUCUCUGGCCAUCUUCACGGUUUCCCACAAGCUGAGGACACAGCUGAGAACAUCACAGCUCGUUAGGAGCAGGGGAUACAGACUGCUGCUGCAAGUUCCAUAGCAGAACUCAGUCACACCACUGUGCACUGCCUUCUCGUGUUCCAGAGCACCCAGACCAAGUCAUGUGAUCAUUUAGCCAUGGAAGAAGUUUGGUUAUUCAGUUCAGUGAUCACAGUAAUUUUAUAAAGGAGAAAAAAAAAAAAGUAAAGCCAGCCCGAGUCUGAUCACCAGCUUUCAGGAGUUCUUUAGGGUAUGGAACAUACAGACUGCAUCCUUCUGAGUGAUGAACUGAGGCCCCGUAGUCACCGAGGGCAGACCGGAGGUGGUGAUGAAGCACACUGAAGGUCCCUGGUAUGGCUCUUCCUGCCCUUGGUCAUGGCAAACUGAAGCCCAAAGGAUAAACCUAUGGGCAGAGGGGGCAACUGGUUCCCAUACGGACUCUGGGCAGCAGUUAAAAACCAUCAUUUUCAGAAUGUAUUGUUAUCUUCAAAUAGAGUUGGCAAAUUAAAAA